rnacentral:rRNA from 1 species
ACUCUAAAGAGACUGCCGGUGUCAAACCGGAGGAAGGUGGGAUGACGUCAAGUCCUCAUGGCCUUUAUGACCAGGGCUACACACGUACUACAAUGGCAGGUACAAAGGGCAGCCACUUAGCGAUAAGGCGCGAAUCCCGUAAAACCCUAGUCCCUCAGUCGGACUUGGAGUCUGCAACUCGACUCCAUGAAGUUGGAAUCGCUAGUAAUCGCAGAUCAGCACGCUGCGGUGAAUACGUUCCCGGGCCUUGU